rnacentral:rRNA from 1 species
CGGCGGGAUCGCCCCGGUGCCUCUGCCGCCCGGAACAAGGCGCCCGCCGGAGGUCUUCUAAACUCUUGUCUUUUUGGUGGCAUUAUCUGAGUAGCGCAAGCAAAUAAAAUCAAAACUCUGAACAACGGAUCUCUUGGUUCAGGCAUCGAUGAAGAACGCAGCGAAAUGCGAUAAGUAAUGUGAAUUGCAGAAUUCAGUGAAUCAUCGAAUCUUUGAACGCACAUUGCGCCCGCUAGUAUUCUAGCGGGCAUGCCUGUUCGAGCGUCAUUUCAACCCUCAAGCCCCUAUUAGGCUUGGUGUUGGGGAUCGGCCGCGGCGGUUCAUCGUCGCGGGCGGCCGGCCCCGAAAUCUAGUGGCGGUCUCGCUGUAGCCUCCUCUGCGUAGUAGAAACACCUCGCUCUGGAAGACAGCGCGGCCAUCGCCGUAAAACCCCCAAG